rnacentral:rRNA from 1 species
AGAGUUUGAUCCUGGCUCAGAAUUAACGCUGGCAGAGUGCAUAACACAUGCAAGUCGAGCGGAACUAUCUGCGAUUACAUCAAGGGUAGUUUAGCGGCAGACGAGUGAGUAACACGUAGGCAAUCUACCCUCGAAUGGCGAAUAACCAGCCGAAAGGUUGGCUAAUGCGCCGUACUCUCCCCGGGAGGCAUCUCCUGGGG